rnacentral:lncRNA from 1 species
AGAAGAUGGAUUGGUUGGAGUGGAACUGGUAGGAAUACAGGAAAGCAUAACCGUAGUGAGCAUUGAGUGUGCGGCAGAAUAAAUAUUUCCCGCAGCAGAGGAUCUCGAUGAAAAUAUCGAUUUUUUCCCCAUUUCCUUGGUAUGUGGUUUGUGAACUUUACAAUUUGGAAGUAUAUACUAUUUAAAAUUUUAUGUAUCCAUUUAUGUACUAUCAAUUGCACUAAUUUCAUAUCUACAUAUGAAAGUUUGUACUUUUCCAAGGCUCCCCAACCCUCUUGUUCGUUGG